rnacentral:tRNA from 1 species
CCCUAGCCUAGUUCAGCUGGAUAGAAUGUCUACCUACGGAGCAGAUGGUCGUAGGUUCGAAUCCUGCAUCGGGUA